rnacentral:rRNA from 1 species
GUGGGGAAUAUUGGACAAUGGGCGAAAGCCUGAUCCAGCCAUGCCGCGUGUGUGAAGAAGGUCUUCGGAUUGUAAAGCACUUUAAGUUGGGAGGAAGGGCAGUAAGUUAAUACCUUGCUGUUUUGACGUUACCAACAGAAUAAGCACCGGCUAACUUCGUGCCAGCAGCCGCGGUAAUACGAAGGGUGCAAGCGUUAAUCGGAAUUACUGGGCGUAAAGCGCGCGUAGGUGGUUUUGUAAGUUGGAGGUGAAAGCCCCGGGCUCAACCUGGGAACUGCCUCCAAAACUGCAUGACUAGAGUACGGUAGAGGGUAGUGGAAUUUCCUGUGUAGCGGUGAAAUGCGUAGAUAUAGGAAGGAACACCAGUGGCGAAGGCGACUACCUGGACUGAUACUGACACUGAGGUGCGAAAGCGUGGGGAGCAAACAGGAUUAGAAACCCAGUAGUCC